rnacentral:rRNA from 1 species
GGGGAGGGAGCAGUGGGGGAUAUUGCACAAUGGGGGAAACCUGUAUGCAGCGACGCCGCGUGAGGGAAGACGGCCUUCGGGUUGUAAACCUCUGUCUUGGGGACGAAUAAAUGACGGUACCCGAGGAGGAAGCCACGGCUAACUACGUGCCAGCAGCCGCGGUAAUACGUAGGUGGCAAGCGUUGUCCGGAAUUACUGGGUGUAAAGGGAGCGUAGGCGGGGAGGCAAGUUGAAUGUCUAAACUAUCGGCUCAACUGAUAGUCGCGUUCAAAACUGCCACUCUUGAGUGCAGUAGAGGUAGGCGGAAUUCCUAGUGUAGCGGUGAAAUGCGUAGAUAUUAGGAGGAACACCAGUGGCGAAGGCGGCCUACUGGGCUGUAACUGACGCUGAGGCUCGAAAGCGUGGGUAGCAAACAGGAUUAGAUACCCUGGUAGUCCACGCCGUAAACGAUGAUUACUAGGUGUGGGGGGACUGACCCCCUUCCGUGCCGGAGUUAACACAAUAAGUAAUCCACCUGGGGAGUACGGCCGCAAGGCUGAAACUCAAAGGAAUUGACGGGGGCCCGCACAAGCAGUGGAGUAUGUGGUUUAAUUCGAAGCAACGCGAAGAACCUUACCAGGUCUUGACAUCGAGUGACGAACAUAGAGAUAUGUUCUUCUUCGGGACACGAAGACAGGUGGUGCAUGGUUGUCGUCAGCUCGUGUCGUGAGAUGUUGGGUUAAGUCCCGCAACGAGCGCAACCCUUAUGGUCAGUUACUACGCAAGAGGACUCUGGCCACACUGCCGUUGACAAAACGGAGGAAGGUGGGGAUGACGUCAAAUCAUCAUGCCCUUUAUGACUUGGGCUACACACGUACUACAAUGGCGUUAAACAAAGAGAAGCAAGACCGCGAGGUGGAGCAAAACUCAGAAACAACGUCCCAGUUCGGACUGCAGGCUGCAACUCGCCUGCACGAAGUCGGAAUUGCUAGUAAUCGUGGAUCAGCAUGCCACGGUGAAUACGUUCCCGGGCCUUGUACACACCGC